rnacentral:lncRNA from 1 species
AAAAAUGAGUAAUAGAGCCAGCCCCGGGCUGGCAUGUGCUUCUCAGAUGCUUCAUCAGAUCAGCUGGUAGCAUUGCUAGGUGCUUUCUGCCUCCAAGAAACCAACGUGCUAAGUGAAGCUUCUCUCUUCCUGCAGACAGAACGUCCUUUCCCUCAUUUCCUCUUCUCCAUAAAGAUCUGACUGGUUUAACUCAUGAGACAAGGAAGGUCUCGCAUCCUUGGCGGCCUCUUUCCCAAAAGUU